AUACAGAGGGUGCGAGCGUUAAUCGGAAUUACUGGGCGUAAGGCGCGCGUAGGCGGUCUAUUAAGUCAGAUGUGAAAUCCCAGGGCUCAACCUUGGAACUGCAUCUGAUACUGGUAGACUAGAGUUUUGGAGAGGGAAGUAGAAUUUCAGGUGUAGCGGUGAAAUGCAUAGAGAUCUGAAGGAAUACCAGUGGCGAAGGCGACUUCCUGGCCAAAAACUGACGCUGAGGUGCGAAAGCGUGGGUAGCAAACGGGAUUAGAAACCCUAGUAGUCC
rnacentral:rRNA from 1 species